AAAUAAGCCUAAAACGACAAAAAACACCGCUUAUUAAAAUGAUAUUGACAAAACAAACAAACUGUAACUAUGGAGGACAUGGAGGACCAUAAUCGCAAUAUGGAAACACCACAUUUUCAGACAACCCCAACCCCACAUUCAAAAAAGCAUCCCCAGACAACAACAAAAACAAUCAAAUAUUAAAUUCAUAUCUAAUGGAUCAUACACAUACUAACCUUCCAGCAAAUUCCACUCAAACUACUUGACGCACACGUAGAAGGACUUCAUGAUUCACGUCCAAACUCCAAUGACGAAGCUCCAAAG
rnacentral:lncRNA from 1 species